UACGGAGGGGGCGAGCGUUAUUCGGAAUUAUUGGGCGUAAAGAGCUCGUAGGCGGCUGUUCAAGUCGAACGUGAAAACUCGGAGCUCAACUCCGAGCCUGCAUCCGAUACUGGAUGGCUUGAAUCCGGGAGAGGGAUGCAGAAUUCCAGGUGUAGUGGUGAAAUGCGUAGAUAUCGGGAGGAACACCAGUGGCGAAGGCGACUUCCUGGCCUGUUCUUGACGCUGAGGCGCGAAAGCUAGGGGAGCAAACGGGG
rnacentral:rRNA from 1 species